AAAAUGUAACUAUGUUGACAAACCCGUGGGCCCCAAUGUUAGUAUAGCAUUAGGAGGAAGUAUUUUUUUCAAUGAGGCACUUGCUUGCGUACAGUCAUAGACCUGGUGGGUCCCGAUGAUACAUUUCCAACGUAUCUGUCACACCCUAGCUAGUCAUGCAUUAGAGUGUUGCAUCAUGUUUACUCUUUCAUCAGAAACUUGAAAUGGGGAUCUGUGAAACCCUCAGAAUCAUUUUGAAAAUGACCCAAAUAAAAAUUUCUCCAAAAGGGUCCAAGAAAAUGAUCAUGUUGCUCUCUGAAAAUAUUGGACAGAGAUAAAAAUCAAACCAAUAUUUUUAGUGGCUCAUGGACAUUUAUUUUGGGCAUUUGGAAUUAAUGCAUAAAUAUUUGCAUUGGAAAUAUAUUUCUAUAUAUAUUAAUAUAUGUCCAAAUAUUAUGCCAAUUAUAAAGGAGCUCUGGAAUAAUAUAUCUAGCCCCUGCAAAAAUUGGCAUAAGUUAAAUAAAUGAUUUAAUAUAUUAUUUAAAUCAAAACAAAUGUCAGAAAUUAGAAAACAGAAAAAAAAUAAAAGGGAGAAGCUUACCUGGGCUCCUCCCUGUGCAGCCCAUCCAGCUGGCCGGCCCAGCCAGCAGGCGGCCCAGCCCGUCUCCCUCCUCUGUCGUCUUCGUCCCGACAGAGGGAGGGGAGUGUGGCCGGCGCGCGCGCGCGCCACCGCGCCACGCCACCUCUCUCCCUGCCUGCCUGCCCUCCCCUCCUCGCCUCGAUGCCCCUGGACGACGCCACGCCUCCCCCCCUGCUCUCUCUCACUCGCCCCGGCUCUCCCCUCCUCUCCCUCGCUCUCUCCCUCACACGACCGAACACCACCGUCGCCGCCGUUCGCCAUAGCAGCCGUCUCCGGCCACCCCUCGCUCCCCCGACUAGCUCAGAAGCUCCGCCACAACCCCCUCUUCCUCCCCACCGCUUCACGGGCCUCCGGAAGCCCUGUAUCGCCGCCACGUCGCCGUUCCCCUCUUCGGGCUCCGACCAUCAUCGCCGUCGAAUUCGCCGUCUCCAGCGCGUCUCCGAGCAUGCUUCGACGCCCACUGCAACCGCGGUGAGCCCCCGAGUCGUUUCCCCCUUCUUCCCUGGUCUCUUUCGACCUCUAGGCCUUAGCCCCACCUUGGCCGAGAGCUCCACGCCGCCGGCGAUGUCGCCGUCGUGGCCACGGUCACCGUAGCACCCAACCGAGCACACUAUCGUGCUCCACGCCUCACUAGGAGCACGCAGCACGCACCAACGCCUCCCCAAACCCCCUGCAACGCCGACUCCGACCGCACCCGAACUCCGGCCGCCGCUCACGAGCUCGUCAUCGACGGUACCGGCCACCCCAGGCUCGGCCACCACCACCGUUCGACGCGCGGGAGCAAGAGCUCUCCAACGAGCCCAAGAACGGCCUCGCCCGUGCCCUGUAGCGCGAUCCCGCAUCGCGCCGCCGUCUCGGGCCUCGCCGGCGUCACGUCGCCGGUGGGUUUGACCCACUUUGACCACGGCAGGACCCCCCCUGAGUCCCUGACAGGUGGGCCCAGCCCUGUAGCUAAUUAGGAUUAGCGCUAACCACUGUUAGUUAACCCCCUGACACUGACCAGUGGGCCCCAGCGCCACUAAUUAGUAAUUAGGAUUAAUUUAACCCUGUUUAACCCCCCUGUCACUGACGUGUGGGCCCCACACGUCAGGUUUGACCCCAGACAGCCGCAGUUGACCACUGACGUCAUGCUGACGUCAUGCUGGCGCAAUAAUUAUAAUUUCUGGAUUUAAUUUAAAUCAGGAAAUUCCAGAAUAUUAUUUAAACUUCAAAAAUUCAUAACUUUUAUUCUGUAACUCCAAAUUGGACAAAUUAUAUAUGAAAAAUGAUCAGAAAAAUCCAAUCUAUCCAUCUGUACUAUUUUCAUGCAUGAUCAAACAAGUUAAAUUGAUGUUUUAAGCAGAACAAGGAAAAGCACUUUAAAAGGCCAUGUUUGAGUUUGAAAUUUGAAUCUUUGAUUCAAAUUUGUUCAAACCCUUCUGGUUUUAGUUGCAUUAGCCCAACACACUCAUAUUGCCAUGUUUCAUGCAUGCAUCAUAUUGUUGCACAUUGUUUGGUGAUGUUGUGUAUCGAUGUCCUUUGCGACAGGUUCUGCCUCCGAGGAGUACCGUGAUUACCCUAACGAAGAACCGUAUCCGUGCAUCGAACCAUCAGGCAAGCAACCAGCCAUUUGAUCAUAUCGAUACAAUCCCAUGUUCUCGCUCCUGCUCUCUUUUACUGCAUUAAGACAACGCGUUUCAAACUGCUGUGUGCUACGGUAGUUGAACCCAUUUCCUCCGCAUGACCUGUCAUUGCCACAGUAACUAGAUGAAACCCACUAGCAUGUGUAGGAGUUGAUUGAGCCAUAUGUAUGUGUUGUUCCUACCUUGCUAUGCCUGCUAUGCUUAGAGUCGUGUCAGGUCUGGUUCAUCUGGGUGAUGGGCUAGAGUGAAAUGUUAUGUCGGUAAUGAGAGUGGUGUGGUGAACACGAUUUGGUAAAGGUAUCGAUGAGAGGCCAUGUAGGAGUACAUGGUGGGUUGCUUCAUUGAAGCCGACCUUAAGCACUGAGAUCUGUAUGUGUGAUUUAAGAAUCAGCUACUACCAUGCAUUGGGCCCGAAACCAAUGGACCCUCUCGGCUUCUUAUUCACCCUAGUUCUCCGUCCAGGAGUUGCAAGUAGUUUCUGGUGUUUGUAGCCUACUGGAGGCCGUGGACAGCGCUGACCGUAGGGGUGGGCUGUGAUGCGGUAGGUACGUGGCCGGGUGUACCGAAUACCCGUUAGGUAUCUCGGGAACCCUGUUCACAUCGUUCGGGGCCGUAUGGGAAACCUCGGCCGGACUCCCUGCGGAUGGAACCUGAAUAGGCGAUAAACCUGGACUGGAGGCUUAGGUGAUUAGGUAGGUCGUGGCCGACACCCACGUUGGGCUUCCGCUUGAAGGUUGCCGAGUACAUGUCGUGUAAACGACGAUAAGUGGUGAGAGCGUGUAUGAAGAAGUACACCCCUGCAGGGUUAACAUGAUCUAUUCGAAUAGCCGCGUCCGCGGUAAAGGACUACUUGGUUGCCUAUACAGUUCAUAGACAAGUAAAUGGAAACUAUUAAAAGCCUCAAGAUAAGAGUGAGUGCCGAGGAUGGCUCUUCCGUAGGAAGACGGAGGUGGAUCCUCGGUGGUGUAUUGAAGUGGUGAGUAGUGGACUCGUGUGCGCAAAACCAUUUCAAGUUGGAGUAUCGUAGAAUAGCCUAGCCAAGAGUCAAAGCUGGCUUGCUGCAAUAACUCCACCAACCCUUCUUGAUACUAUGCAUGUAUGUAGGAUCUGAUGUAAGUCUUGCUGAGUACCUUUGUACUCAUGUUGCUAUAAUCUACAUUUUUUACAGAAGACGCUGCAACCCCUUCUGAUGGGUUCUAUGUAGACGUUGACAUCAACGAGUAGGCUAAAGACCCAGGUGGUGACCCUGAGCUUGUGAAGGACCACGUAGUAUAGCUAGGCUUUCCAAGCCUCUUUUAUUUUACUAGUUGUCUGUACUCAGACAAGUUACUUCCGUUGCUGGUUUGUAUGACUGUAUGACUUGUAUGUUGGGUCGUGAGACCCGUACCUUUGUGUAUGUUAUGUAUGGCUCACUGAGCCUUAAAUAAAGUACUUGUGUCGUAGAGUCAUGUUGUGAUGCUUCGUUGUAAUUGCACAUAUCGAGCAUAUUGUGUGUAUGAUUGAAAUGCUUGGUAUGUGUGGGAUCUGACUAUCUAGUUGUUUAUCUUUAGUAGCCUCUCUUACCGGGAAAUGUCUCCUAGUGUUACCGCUGAGCCAUGGUAGCUUGCUACUGCUCUGGAACACUUAGGCUGGCCGGCAUGUGUCCUUCUUCGUUCCUGUGUCUGUCCCUUCGGGGAAAUGUCACACUUUGAGUACCGGAGUCCUGUUAGCCCGCUACAGCCCGGUUUACCGGAGUCCUGCUAGCCCAGUGCUACAGCCCGGACCCACUUGCUGAUGACCGACACAUUCGAAGCUGGGUCAUGGAUGCCUGUCCCUGUAAGUCUGUGCCACUUUGGGUUUACGACUAGUCAUGUCAGCCCGGGCUCUUUAUCAUAUGGAUGCUAGCGACACUAUCAUAUACGUGAGCCAAAAGGCGCAAACGGUCCCGGGCAAAGGUAAGGCGACACCCAUGGGGAUACCGUGCGUGAGGCCGCAAAGUGAUAUGAGGUGUUACCGGCUAGAUCGAUGUGACAUCGAGUCGGGGUCCUGACAGCUUGGCAUCAGAGCCGGACUGCCUGUAGGUUCUCCAAGCCAAACUGGUCGAUGUUGAGUCUAGAAAUUCUUUAGUUAUAUGUAGGGGAAUUGAUUGUGGGAUGGAACGUAAGGCUCUUUUACUCGUUUAUCUCAUGACAUUCUGAUCUGAGUCAGUCCAUUCUUCCACCGGGGGUUAAGGAAUUAGGACCUAUUCUCUCUAUCAGGAUCACGUGUUACUAAUCAGUAGUACCUUAUAAGUUUGAGGGAUACAAGCCUAGUUCAGUUCUACUACCACAUUAUGUUGUUAGAAUGGAUUCAGAACUUUGACAUGAUGAUGUUGAGUGUGUACGAAAUCCUUUGUCAAAUGUCUCAAAAUCCUUCUUGAGCAUUUACAGCUGUUAUGCUGCCGAAAUUUUGCUAGAAAUUCUAAUGCCCUUGCAUUAUGAUUGUGCUUUCAGAUGGCCACUCGCGACCUCAAUCAAGUGGUUCGCCUGACUCGAUGCCUAGAUGUACCCGGCCAUACUGCCAAGUUGGUCAGGGUAAUGACUGAGGCUGGAUACCGUUGGUAUCCUGAGUACACGGUCGAAGAGCAAUUCCGAGACUUUAAUCAAAGCCAGUAUCUCUGCACUGUCAGGAUAUUUCCAUCUUAUCCUGGAUCCACCGAGCCUCUUCACUGCUCCUAUGGACUCGGGGUUACUAUUGAGAUGGCUGUGCAGGACGCCGCCUACUCUAUGAUGACCAUUAUGCGAGUCAGAUCUGGUCUAUUUCGGGACUCUGAUUUCCGGUAUAUGCCAGGAUCACUUCCGGGAGCACAAGGGUAUCUCCAGGCUAUUUAUGCUGACCCCACUCAGGAGGAUUCACGAACUCGCACCACUGCUGAGAUGCUCGAGGAUAAGGACCGUGAAAAUCGGGCCUUGAGGUUAGAGCUCUUCAAUACCCGUGCUGACCACUGGGCCACUUUGACUCGGUUCGCACCGGCGGUGCAAGCUGGAUUUUCAGAUAUGCGCGAUCUCUAUCCUGUGAGAUCUGCUCUGCCAGACGUGAUGGUUUGGCGUGAUGUAGGAGGCAUCACCCUACCUCGCGGUCCCCGCAGGCCACCGUCUGUUGGUCCAAGGCCUCAUCCUAGCCCCUAUGGUCCACAAGCUCCGCGAGAUCGUCUGUUUCCGGAUGAUCAUGUUGAGCUCCCAGGCUAUGGAGGUGACUUCUACGAGGACUACUACGGAUCGGUCUGAGCUAGUGGUAGUAUCACUAGUUCGCACUAGCUGUGUCGUCUAUCGUCCCGCGUGACUCGUGGGAUAUGACCUAGUUUGUACUCCUUCCGGAGGUGUAGAAAAAUAAUGUAUAGGAGCUUGGAAUGCCUCCGAUGAGAUGUAAUCCUCUUUCACCAUAAUAGUACUUUGUUUGGUCUUGUACUAAACCCUGUAUGGUGUGUAUGACGAUGGAAUAAAGAAGCAGUUUCUAUAUUUACCAUGUCAUACGGAUGAUCAUCUUGCAUUCCGAAUUAUUCCUUACAUUCUGUAUCCUAUGUCGGAAUUUUAUCAUUCUGACUAAAUCAUUGUCUUGUUUACCUAGGAUGGUCAACACGCGCGCUAACCCUGCUUCUCAAGAGCAGGCCGAAGGCAGUGAAGGCAGGAAUGAAAAUCUGCCUCAUCCUCCUUCACUAGCCGAGGUUAUGAUGGAAGCUGAGAGAAACAAGCGGGAGACCAACCGUUUGUUGGAGCGUAUUGAACAGAAUACAGCACACCAUCAGAGGGCUAACGUGGUGUCACUCAGUGAUUUUAUCAAAUUGCAUCCACCCACAUUCCACCACUCCGUCGAGCCUCUCGACGCUGAUGACUGGCUUCGCAGUAUCUCUCACAAGCUGCGUUCCGCGCUAGUAGCUGAGGCUGACAAGGUCACCUUUGCUGCAUAUCAUCUUGAAGGCCCCACCAGUCUAUGGUGGGAAAAUUAUGGAGCCAUGCGCCCAGCGGGCCAUGUCACUACUUGGGCUGAGUUCAGCGAGGCUUUCCGUGAGCAUCAUAUUCCGGAGGGUCUCAUGGACCGUAAACGUGAAGAAUUUUGCAGUUUCACCCAAGGCCGACUUUCUGCGGAUGUUUACAGCAGGGAGUUUGGUAAUCUCGCACGAUAUGCAACUGAGGAAGUGUCUACCGAUGCCAAGAAGCAAGCAAGGUUCCGUAAGGGCCUUAGUCCUGAGCUUCGCCGUGACCUCCGUCUGCAUGAGUGCACAUCUUUUCAGAAACGUGUCAACAAAGCCAUCAGUGCUGAAACUGGUCAGACUGACUAUGACGCAACACGCAAGCACGGCCGUGAUAUGGGUUCCUCAUCCGGUGCUGGUCCUCAGAAGCGCCGCGUGUGGGUGCCCAACACCGCCCUGCCACCCAGGUUCACACCGAGGCCAUCUUUCCAGGCGCCUUGCCCUGUUCAACAGUCUGCACCGGCCAAGCCCUAUGGGGGUCCAACUAACAAUGCUCCUCCACGUACCAGUUCUGUGACUUGUUUCAAGUGUGGGGAAUCUGGUCACUAUAUGCGUGAGUGUCCCCAGACCAACCCCAAUCAAUCUGCUAAAGCUGUUGGCCGUGGCAAGCCGACAGGAAAAGUAUUCCACGCCAAGCCGGUCACCGCUACACGUGGCCAUGUCAACUGUAUCUCUGCCGAAGAAGCUCAAGAGGAUCCCAACGUCGUUCUCGGUACGCUUCUUGUUAAUUGCCACCCGGCAUCUGUUCUUUUCGAUACAGGAGCCUCUCAUUCUUUUAUAUCCGAAAAUUAUGCGCGUUUGCAUAACGUUGCAUUCUGUGAUAUGCCAUCCACUAUGGAAAUUUCUACCCCUGGUUCUAGAUGGCAGACCUCUAGGGUAAGUUAUGGAAAUGAAAUCCAAGUUGACAGACUUGUUUUCCUCGCAUCUUUGAUAGCCCUUAAAUUUUCAGAUAUUAAUAUCAUUUUGGGUAUGGACUGGAUGUCAGCUCAUCAAGCCAAAAUUGAUUGCUUCUCUAGGACUGUUCAACUCACCCAUCCUUCGGGGAAGAUAGUCAAUGUCUUGACCCGAAUAGCCAAGCGACAAUUAUAUUCUCUUAACGCCAGCCCUUUGCCAGACCUUGAGGACAUUCCGGUAGUCCGUGACUUCCCGGAUGUUUUUCCAGAGGAAUUGCCAGGUGUUCCACCUGACAGGGAUGUUGAGUUCGUAAUAAACCUCAUUCCAGGAACCGUUCCGAUUGCUAGAAGACCUUAUAAGAUGGCACCCCUAGAACUAGCCGAGCUUAAGAAACAACUCGAUGAGUCCUUGAAAAAGGGUUUCAUCCGACCUAGCUCAUCUCCGUGGGCUUGCCCCGUCCUAUUCGUCAAGAAGAAGGAUGGUACGGACCGGAUGGUUGUAGAUUACCGACCUGUCAAUCUGGUCACAAUCAAGAACAAAUAUCCGCUUCCCAGGAUCAACGACCUGUAUGAUCAGCUCGCUGGAUCCUCAGUCUUCUCCAAGAUGGAUUUGAGGUUGGGCUACCAUCAAAUCAAAAUCAGAAACGGGGACAUUCCUAAAACGGCCUUUGUUACUCGUUAUGGCCAAUACGAGUACACCGUCAUGUCCUUCGGUUUAACCAACGCUCCAGCCACCUUUUCUCGGUUAAUGAACUCAAUCUUCAUGGAGUAUUUGGAUAAAUUCAUCGUAGUUUAUCUCGAUGAUAUACUCAUCUACUCCAAGAACGAGGAAGAACAUGCCGAACAUCUAAGGCUAGUGUUGAAGAAACUUCGAGAGCAUCGCCUUUAUGCCAAAUUUUCUAAAUGUGAAUUCUGGUUGUCAGAAGUGACCUAUCUGGGUCAUGUAAUAUCUGGUAAAGGUAUUGCUGUUAACCCUGAGCGAUUUCAAGCCGUCCUUAACUGGACUCCACCUGAAUCGGUCAAGCAAGUUCGGAGUUUUCUAGGCUUAGCGAGCUAUUGUCGUCGCUUUGUCGAGAACUUCUCCAAAGUUGCCAAACCUCUAACCGAACUCCUCAAGAAAGAUAAGAAGUUCGAGUGGACUCCACAAUGUGAGCACAGCUUUCAGGAACUGAAAAGACGCCUGACUUCUGCUCCCGUACUGGUACCGCCAGACUUCUCCAAGGACUUUGUUAUCUACUGCGACGCCUCGCGACAAGGACUAGGUUGCAUUCUCAUGCAAGAUCGACACGUAAUUGCCUACGCUUCACGGCAAUUGCACCCACAUGAGGAGAAUUAUCCUACUCAUGAUCUAGAGCUUGCAGCUGUAGUCUAUGCACUUAAAACCUGGCGACAUUACCUCCUCGGUAAUCGUUGCGAAAUAUUCACUGAUCACCAAAGUUUGAAGUACAUCUUCACCCAACCGGAUCUGAACCUCAGGCAAAGACGUUGGGUUGAGUUGAUCACAGACUUCGAUUUAGGGAUAACCUACAGCCCAGGGAAAGCCAACGUCAUGGCUGAUGCGCUAAGUCGUAAAUCUUAUUGUAACAACCUGAUGUUACAACAAAGUCAACCGCUUCUCCAUGAGGAAUUUCGGAAGCUUAACCUUCACAUUGUUCCUCAAGGUUUUCUUUCCACCUUGGUGGCAAAACCUACCCUUACGGAUCAGAUUAUCAAAGCACAGAAGGUAGAUCCGGGAAUCUCCCGCAUCAAGAGAAACAUUCAGAAAGGAAUUGCGAAUUGCUUCUCCAUUAAUGAUCAAGGGGUCGUAUACUUCGGGAAUCGACUAGUGGUUCCCAAAGUGCGAAACCUGAGGCGUUUGAUCCUUAAGGAAGCUCAUGAAUCUCCUCUCACCAUUCAUCCCGGUAGUACUAAGAUGUAUCAGGACCUACGCCAGAGGUUCUGGUGGACUAGGAUGAAGAGAGAAAUUGCUCAGUAUAUUGCAAAUUGCGACGUCUGUCGUCGUGUAAAAGCAGAGCAUCAACGGCCUGCUGGCACCCUUCAACCCCUAGCUAUUCCUGAAUGGAAAUGGGAUAAAAUUGGUAUGGAUUUCAUUACCGGUUUUCCCAGGACCAAGAGAGGGAAUAAUGCUAUUUUCGUCGUGGUCGAUCGUCUUUCCAAAGUAGCCCAUUUCUUGCCUGUUCGUGAGAGUAUAACCGCUAGUCAGCUGGCAGACUUAUACAUCUCCCGAAUAGUGUCCCUUCAUGGUGUUCCUUUGGAAAUUAACUCGGAUCGAGGAAGUCUUUUCACCUCUCGAUUUUGGGAAACUUUCCAAAAUGCUAUGGGAACUCGUCUCUCCUUUAGCACCGCCUUCCACCCUCAGUCGAGUGGUCAAGUGGAAUGCGUCAACCAAAUUCUAGAAGACAUGCUUCGAGCCUCUGUUAUCUCGUUCGGAAUGGACUGGGAGAAGUGCCUUCCAUUUGCCGAAUUCGCUUACAACAACAGCUAUCAAUCUAGCUUGGGUAAAGCCCCUUUUGAAGUUCUCUAUGGACGACGGUGUCGAACACCCCUUAACUGGUCAGAGACCGGGGAAAGACAAUUCUUUGGCCCGGAUAUGAUUCAGGAAGCAGAAGAACAAGUUCGCAUCAUUCGUGAAAAGUUGAAAACAGCCCAAUCUCGUCAAAAGAGUCAAUAUGACCGAAAACAUAAGGCUAUGACUUUCGAGGUUGACGAGAAGGCUUAUCUUCGGGUCACCCCUCUGAAGGGAACCCAUCGUUUCGGUAUCAAAGGCAAAAUGGCUCCUCGUUACAUUGGACCUUUUCGCAUUCUCGCCAAACGAGGAGAAGUUGCCUACCAGUUGGAACUACCUCCACAUCUCUCCAGAGUCCACGAUGUCUUCCACGUUUCUCAACUCAGGCGUUUCUUCUCGGAUCCUAUCCGUGAAGUGGACCACGAAACGCUUGAUCUCCAAGAUAAUCUUACAUAUCGAGAGUACCCCGUUCGUAUCCUCGAUCAGGCCGAAUGUAUCACCCGACGUCAGAACAUCAAGUUCCUCAAAGUACAAUGGUCGCACCAUUCUGAGGAUGAAGCAACCUGGGAAAGGGAGGAUCGUCUUCGACUUGAGUACCCCGCCUUCUUCCCGGAGGAACCCAAAUCUCGGGACGAGAUUCUUUUGAGUGGGGGUGAGUUGUCACACCCUAGCUAGUCAUGCAUUAGAGUGUUGCAUCAUGUUUACUCUUUCAUCAGAAACUUGAAAUGGGGAUCUGUGAAACCCUCAGAAUCAUUUUGAAAAUGACCCAAAUAAAAAAUUUCUCCAAAAGGGUCCAAGAAAAUGAUCAUGUUGCUCUCUGAAAAUAUUGGACAGAGAUAAAAAUCAAACCAAUAUUUUUAGUGGCUCAUGGACAUUUAUUUUGGGCAUUUGGAAUUAAUGCAUAAAUAUUUGCAUUGGAAAUAUAUUUAUAUAUAUAUUAAUAUAUGUCCAAAUAUUAUGCCAAUUAUAAAGGAGCUCUGGAAUAAUAUAUCUAACCCCUGCAAAAAUUGGCAUAAGUUAAAUAAAUGAUUUAAUAUAUUAUUUAAAUCAAAACAAAUGUCAGAAAUUAGAAAACAGAAAAAAAAAUAAAAGGGAGAAGCUUACCUGGGCUCCUCCCUGUGCAGCCCAUCCAGCUGGCCGGCCCAGCCAGCAGGCGGCCCAGCCCGUCUCCCUCCUCUGUCGUCUUCGUCCCGACAGAGGGAGGGGAGUGUGGCCGGCGCGCGCGCGCGCCACCGCGCCACGCCACCUCUCUCCCUGCCUGCCUGCCCUCCCCUCCUCGCCUCGAUGCCCCUGGACGACGCCACGCCUCCCCCCCUGCUCUCUCUCACUCGCCCCGGCUCUCCCCUCCUCUCCCUCGCUCUCUCCCUCACACGGCCGAACACCACCGUCGCCGCCGUUCGCUAUAGCAGCCGUCUCCGGCCACCCCUCGCUCCCCCGACUAGCUCAGAAGCUCCGCCACAACCCCCUCUUCCUCCCCACCGCUUCACGGGCCUCCGGAAGCCCUGUAUCGCCGCCACGUCGUCGUUCCCCUCUUCGGGCUCCGACCAUCAUCGCCGUCGAAUUCGCCGUCUCCAGCGCGUCUCCGAGCCCGCUUCGACGCCCACUGCAACCGCGGUGAGCCCCCGAGUCGUUUCCCCCUUCUUCCCUGGUCUCUUUCGACCUCUAGGCCUUAGCCCCACCUUGGCCGAGAGCUCCACGCCGCCGGCGAUGUCGCCGUCGUGGCCACGGUCACCGUAGCGCCCAACCGAGCACACUAUCGUGCUCCACGCCUCACUAGGAGCACGCAGCACGCACCAACGCCUCCCCAAACCCCCUGCAACGCCGACUCCGACCGCACCCGAACUCCGGCCGCCGCUCACGAGCUCGCCGUCGACGGUACCUGCCACCCCAGGCUCGGCCACCACCACCGUUCGACGCGCGGGAGCAAGAGCUCUCCAACGAGCCCAAGAACGGCCUCGCCCGUGCCCUGUAGCGCGAUCCCGCAUCGCGCCGCCGUCUCGGGCCUCGCCGGCGUCACGUCGCCGGUGGGUUUGACCCACUUUGACCACGGCAGGACCCCCCCUGAGUCCCUGACAGGUGGGCCCAGCCCUGUAGCUAAUUAGGAUUAGCGCUAACCACUGUUAGUUAACCCCCUGACACUGACCAGUGGGCCCCAGCGCCACUAAUUAGUAAUUAGGAUUAAUUUAACCCUGUUUAACCCCCCUGUCACUGACGUGUGGGCCCCACACGUCAGGUUUGACCCCAGACAGCCGCAGUUGACCACUGAUGUCAUGCUGACGUCAUGCUGGCGCAAUAAUUAUAAUUUCUGGAUUUAAUUUAAAUCAGGAAAUUCCAGAAUAUUAUUUAAACUUCAAAAAUUCAUAACUUUUAUUCUGUAACUCCAAAUUGGACAAAUUAUAUAUGAAAAAUGAUCAGAAAAAUCCAAUCUAUCCAUCUGUACUAUUUUCAUGCAUGAUCAAACAAGUUAAAUUGAUGUUUUAAGCAGAACAAGGAAAAGCACUUUAAAAGGCCAUGUUUGCGUUUGAAAUUUGAAUCUUUGAUUCAAAUUUGUUCAAACCCUUCUGGUUUUAGUUGCAUUAGCCCAACACACUCAUAUUGCCAUGUUUCAUGCAUGCAUCAUAUUGUUGCACAUUGUUUGGUGAUGUUGUGUAUCGAUGUCCUUUGCGACAGGUUCUGCCUCCGAGGAGUACCGUGAUUACCCUAACGAAGAACCGUAUCCGUGCAUCGAACCAUCAGGCAAGCAACCAGCCAUUUGAUCAUAUCGAUACAAUCCCAUGUUCUCGCUCCUGCUCUCUUUUACUGCAUUAAGACAACGCGUUUCAAACUGCUGUGUGCUACGGUAGUUGAACCCAUUUCCUCUGCAUGACCUGCCAUUGCCACAGUAACUAGAUGAAACCCACUAGCAUGUGUAGGAGUUGAUUGAGCCAUAUGUAUGUGUUGUUCCUACCUUGCUAUGCCUGCUAUGCUUAGAGUCGUGUCAGGUCUGGUUCAUCUGGGUGAUGGGCUAGAGUGAAAUGUUAUGUCGGUAAUGAGAGUGGUGUGGUGAACACGAUUUGGUAAAGGUAUCGAUGAGAGGCCAUGUAGGAGUACAUGGUGGGUUGUUUCAUUGAAGCCGACCUUAAGUACUGAGAUCUGUAUGUGUGAUUUAAGAAUCAGCUACUACCAUGCAUUGGGCCCGAAACCAAUGGACCCUCUCGGCUUCUUAUUCACCCUAGUUCUCCGUCCAGGAGUUGCAAGUAGUUUCUGGUGUUUGUAGCCUACUGGAGGCCGUGGACAGCGCUGACCGUAGGGGUGGGCUGUGAUGCGGUAGGUACGUGGCCGGGUGUACCGAAUACCCGUUAGGUAUCUCGGGAACCCUGUUCACAUCGUUCGGGGCCGUAUGGGAAACCUCGGCCGGACUCCCUGCGGAUGGAACCUGAAUAGGCGAUAAACCUGGACUGGAGGCUUAGGUGAUUAGGUAGGUCGUGGCCGACACCCACGUUGGGCUUCCGCUUGAAGGUUGCCGAGUACAUGUCGUGUAAACGACGAUAAGUGGUGAGAGCGUGUAUGAAGAAGUACACCCCUGCAGGGUUAACAUGAUCUAUUCGAAUAGCCGCGUCCGCGGUAAAGGACUACUUGGUUGCCUAUACAGUUCAUAGACAAGUAAAUGGAAACUAUUAAAAGCCUCAAGAUAAGAGUGAGUGCCGAGGAUGGCUCUUCCGUAGGAAGACGGAGGUGGAUCCUCGGUGGUGUAUUGAAGUGGUGAGUAGUGGACUCGUGUGCGCAAAACCAUUUCAAGUUGGGGUAUCGUAGAAUAGCCUAGCCAAGAGUCAAAGCUGGCUUGCUGCAAUAACUCCACCAACCCUUCUUGAUACUAUGCAUGUAUGUAGGAUCUGAUGUAAGUCUUGCUGAGUACCUUAGUACUCAUGUUGCUAUAAUCUACAUUUUUUACAGAAGACGCUGCAACCCCUUCUGAUGGGUUCUAUGUAGACGUUGACAUCAACGAGUAGGCUAAAGACCCAGGUGGUGACCCUGAGCUUGUGAAGGACCACGUAGUAUAGCUAGGCUUUCCAAGCCUCUUUUAUUUUACUAGUUGUCUGUACUCAGACAAGUUACUUCCGCUGCUGGUUUGUAUGACUGUAUGACUUGUAUGUUGGGUCGUGAGACCCGUACCUUUGUGUAUGUUAUGUAUGGCUCACUGAGCCUUAAAUAAAGUACUUGUGUCGUAGAGUCAUGUUGUGAUGCUUCGUUGUAAUUGCACAUAUCGAGCAUAUUGUGUGUAUGAUUGAAAUGCUUGGUAUGUGUGGGAUCUGACUAUCUAGUUGUUUAUCUUUAGUAGCCUCUCUUACCGGGAAAUGUCUCCUAGUGUUACCGCUGAGCCAUGGUAGCUUGCUACUGCUCUGGAACACUUAGGCUGGCCGGCAUGUGUCCUUCUUCGUUCCUGUGUCUGUCCCUUCGGGGAAAUGUCACGCUUUGAGUACCGGAGUCCUGUUAGCCCGCUACAGCCCGGUUUACCGGAGUCCUGCUAGCCCAGUGCUACAGCCCGGACCCACUUGCUGAUGACCGACACGUUCGAAGCUGGGUCAUGGAUGCCUGUCCCUGUAAGUCUGUGCCACUUUGGGUUUACGACUAGUCAUGUCAGCCCGGGCUCUUUAUCAUAUGGAUGCUAGCGACACUAUCAUAUACGUGAGCCAAAAGGCGCAAACGGUCCCGGGCAAAGGUAAGGCGACACCCGUGGGGAUACCGUGCGUGAGGCCGCAAAGUGAUAUGAGGUGUUACCGGCUAGAUUGAUGUGACAUCGAGUCGGGGUCCUGACAGUAUCUAUAAUUUUUUAUUGUUCCAUGCUAUUAUAUUAUCUAUCUUGGAUGUUUUAUAUGCAUUUAUAUGCUAUUUUAUAUGAUUUUUGGGACUAACCUAUUAACCUAGAGCCCAGUGACAGUUUCUAUUUUUUCCUUGUUUUUGAGUUUCGCAGAAAAGGGAUAUAAAACGGAGUCCAAUUGACCUGAAAAUUUACGAAGAAUAUUUUUGGAAAAUAUAAAAAAUACUGGAACAAAAAGAUAUCGGAGAAGAGGCACGAGGAAUCCAUAAGGGCGGAGGGCGCCCCCACCCCCCUAGGGCGCGCCCUCCGACCUUGUGGUUGACUCGUGCACCCCCUUGACUUGUUCCCGAUGCCAGCGCCUCUUAUAAAUCCCCAAAACCCUAGAACAGAACCUAGAUCAGGAGUUCCGCCGCCGCAAGCCUCUGUAGCCAUGAAAAACAAAUCGAGAGCCCGUUCUGGCACCCUGCCGGAGGGGGAAAUCAUCACUGGUGGCCAUCUUCAUCAUCCCAGCGGUCUCCAUGACGAGGAGGGACUAGUUCACCAUCGGGGCUGAGGGUAUGUACCAGUAGCUAUGUGUUUGAUCUCUCUCUUUCCCGUCUUCUUGAUUUGGCACGAUCUUGAUGUACCGCGAGCUUUGCUAUUAUAGUUGGAUCUUAUGACGUUUCUCCCCCUCUGCCUUCUUGUAAUGGAUUGAGUUUUCCCUUUGAAGUUAUCUUAUCGGAUUGAGUCUUUAAGGAUUUGAGAACACUUGAUGUAUGUCUUGCAUGUGCUUAUAUGUGGUGACAAUGGGAUAUUCACGUGAUCUACUUGAUGUAAGUUUUGUGAUCAACUUGCGGGUUCUGUGACCUUCUGAACAUAUGCAUAGGGGUUGGCACACGUUUUCGUCUUGACUCUCUGGUAGAAACUUUGGGACACUAUUUGAAGUUCUUUGUGUUGGUUCGAAUAGAUGAAUAUGGGAUUGUGUGAUGCAUAUCGUAUAAUCGAACCCGCGGAUACUUGUGGUGACAUUGGAGGACCAAUAUCCAGAUACAAAUCAUGCUAAAAUUUCAGCCCAAUCGGAGUUGCGGAUCUCCGGGAAUAUAAGAAACAGUGAAAGGCCAGAAUCUGAAAGGCAGAAAUAGAGAGAGACAGAGAGACGGAUCCAAUCUUGGAGGGGCUCUCGCCCCUCCACCGCCGUGGAAGCCAUGGACCAGAGGGGAAACCCUUCUCCCAUCUAGGGAGAAGGUCAUGGAAGAAGAAGAAGGGGGGCCCUCUCCCCCUCUCUCCCGGUGGCGCCGGAACGCCGCUGGGGCCAUCAUCGUGUGACGGUGAUCUACACCAACACCUCCGUCAUCUUCACUAACAUAUUCAUCACCUUCCCCCAUCUAUCUACAUCGGUCCACUCUCCCGCAACCCACUGUACCCUCUACUUGAACAUGGUGCUUUAUGCUUCAUGUUAUUAUCCAAUGAUGUGUUGCCAUCCUAUGAUGUCUGAGUAGAUUUUCGUUGUCCUAUCGGUAAUUGGUGAAUUGCUAUGAUUGGUUUCAUUUGCUUGUGGUUAUCUUGCUGUCCUUUGGUACCCAUAACAUGAGCGCGCACGUGGAUCACACCAUAGGGUUAGUUGUAUGUUGAUAUGACAAUGCAUUGGAGGGCAAGAGUGACAGAAGCUUCAACCUAGCAUAGAAAUUGAUGCAUACAGGAUUGAAGGGGGACCAAUAUAUCUUAACGCUAUGGUUGGGUUUUACCUUAAUGAACGUUAGUAGUUGCGAACGCUUGCUAAUAGUUCCAAUCAUAAGUGCAUAUAAUUCCAAGUCAGGGAUGACAUGCUAGCAGUGGCCUCUCCCACAUAAAACUUGCUAUCGGUCUAGUAAUGUAGUCAAUUGCUUAAGGACAAUUUCGCAACUCCUACCACCACUUUUCCACACUCGCUAUACUAACUUUAUUGCUUCUUUACCUAAAACAGCCCCUAAUUUUUAUUUAUGUGCUCUUUAUAUUCUUGCAAACCUAUCCCGUUACACCUACGGAGUACUUCUAGUUUCAUACUUGUUCUGGGUAAAGCGAACGAUAAGCAUGCAUAGAGUUGUAUCGGUGGUCGAUAGAACUUGAGGGAAUAUUUGUUCUACCUUUAGCUCCUCGUUGGGUUCGACACUCUUACUUAUUGAAAGAUGCUAUACUUGUGGGUUAUCAAGACCUUUUUAUGGCGCCAUUGCUAGGGAGUUAUAGCGUGGGGUGAAUAUUCUCGUGUGUGGUUGUUUGCUUUAUCACUAAGUAGUUUUUAUUUUGUGUUCUUGUUUUCUAUCUUUAGUUAUGGGUAGGAAACGCAAAAUACCAAAAAAAAUUAGUGGUACCUACUGAACCAAUGGUUGAAGAACCACUCAAAAUCUAUUACACUGCUGAAGCUUUUUACUUGGAUCAUCUUCGAUCCCUAUGUGCUCGGGCUGAAACCCCAACUAGCUUAGUUGAGGGCAAAUAUUUAGAUGAGCAUGCUUGUUAUGUAUGACACCGCAUAUCUUAAAAGGGGAAACUUUUACUGGAUUAAAUUCAUCAUUUGUAGUGCCAUGCUUGGAAUUUAUGUGAAAUACAUGAUGGUACUUGUUGUUCUAAUGACCCUGUCAGAGUAAAUGACCACGGGUAGCCUAGCCGGCUCCCCGUGGCCCUUCUGAAAAAAUUACGAGCCGAUCCGGCCCUCAAGAAUCCAAGACGUGGGGCCACCUUCCCCUUGCCGGCUGUCUCCCAGGCCGACUAUCGGAAGGCGGCCCGGCUUUAGCCCUCAUGAAGAAAGCCGCGGGAGGGCCGGCUCCAAGAAGCCGACCGCAAGAAGCCGACUCCCACAAAGCGGUCAAGAUCGUACCCUCGAAGUCUGCAUCCACAUAACGGCGAUGUGACGGGGCGUGGCUACAGUAAAGCCUGCCACCCCCGAAUCCCGGAGCACGUCUGGCACAGUGCACCGUACGGGGUGGCCAUGACCCGUCCGGCGUGGCACUGUUGCCAUGUUGACCCUGAUGCCACCCACGACGGGCUGUCAGCGCGGCCCAUGGGCGGUGGGCCCCUUCAGGCAGAGAGACACCCGAAGGCGGCCAGGCCUCCCCCAGUCGACCCAAGACGGGGCCGGCUCCCCACAGCCGGCUUGCUUCCUCCCUCGAAGGAGACGCCCCAUUAAGGGGACAAGACGAGGCGUGGCUACAGCGAUCGCCCGCCGGGCGGCGGCACUGUAGCCACGCUUACCUCGGCGAAGCCCUCGUCACCAGGUUUGAGGCAACAGUGACCAGCCACUGACAAGGCCCUUGACAGUGGGGCCUGCCUGUCGACCAAGGAGCCGGCAGCCGGCGGGCCCCAGCAGCCGGCGCAGAAGCCGGCGAGCGUAGACACAGACGGCUAGGGCCCACGCCAGCCGGAUUACCAUUGUACCCCCGGGGGGUGGGCCUAUAUAAACCCCCCGGGGCACCCAUCCAAAGGGUUGACCUGUGCUAGUUUUAGACACCAAGAGAGAGGAGAGGAGAACUAGCCGUGCCUUUCUUCUUCUUCUCGCCAAACAGCUCAAGGAGCAUCUUGUGGCCACUCGUUCAUCUAGUGAUCAUGCGGAGACCCCGCAGAGUAGUAGUAGGGGUGUUAUCUCGUCGGAGAGCCCCGAAGCUGGGUAAGAUUCGCCGGCGUGCAUGUCUUCGCCUCAUCCCGCUUCCAGGCACUGGCGACAUCUUACUGGCUCCCACAAUGAUAGGCCACCCGUUGGCAUAUGUCCGACCUACCACCCGACAUUUGGCGCCCACCAUGGGGCCAGGUGCACCGUCGUCCGGAGACAUGUUCUGGACGUGAACCCUCUUCCUCCCCAGUGAGCGUAGCCAGCCCCGCACGCCCGAUGGCGCUUGCCACGACGCGCUGCAAGGCGUCGCCAACGUCUGCGCAGCGAGCAGCCUCGCCGAUCUCCUUGAUGAGACCCUCAUCUCCGACGAGCUCGCCUCUGACGCGGGCACCGACCACCUCGUCAACCUCCUCGGCCAGCUCCAUGUCUCCGGCGAGGCUGCUGUGGACUUGGAGUCUGUUGGCUCCACCGAUUCGAUGCCUGUCGACUCCGACACGGCCUCGCUCAACGCUUUCCCCACCGACGUCACGAUCUACAACGACCCGCUUCCCCGGGCCGAUGGCUGCGACGGUGCCACCACCGAGGUGAUGGUCAUCGGCCACGGCGGCGCUUCUGGCGAGAAUGCCCUCGACGCCCCGCAUGCAGCGGUCCACGACUUGUCCAUCCCCCUCCCAGCUGAUGCCGACGCCGAAGCACUGGAGGCUCGCCGCCUCGCCCUCCGCACGGAGGGCCGGAAGUUGGCUUCCAUGAGACGCCUCACCGAGGCCCACCAGCGCGAAGCCGACCAUGCCGCCUUUGGCACGCCGCCCCCAGGCGGGCCAAGCCGAGCCGGCAUUGUCAGACAGCGCGGCGCUGCCCUCGCCGACACGCUAGGAGUCGACCGCCCAGUCUACGCCACUCCACUCGAGAACCUGCGCGCCGCCCAGGCGGCUGUAGACGAGCUAGACGAACUAGGGGCCGAAGAACUCCCCCACAUGACCAGACGCAUCCAGCAGCUAAUUGAUGCAGCCGCACAGCGGCACGAAGCCGACGCCCGCGCGGAAAGCCCUCCCCCGCGCCGAGAGCAUGGCGCGACAUCCCGGACGCCGACUGCGGGUAAAACCCGCGUGCGACACGAGAAGGAGCCGGCUGCCAGCCGAAGCCGAACCUGGACCUCCAUCAAGCAAGACGCAGAAGGCCGUCCCUGGGCCGUGGAGCGGCGGGGCAACCCGCCUCCGCCUCCGCCUCGUGGGGAGAGAUAUCCCACCCCACCGCGUGUCACGCAUCCGACUCUCAGCGGCCGACUAGGUCUCUGUGAAGGAGUCGGCGAGAAUGACGCCCGCCAUCGGAUCGACCGCCUAGCGCGAUCCCUGGCGCUAGAAGAAGAAGAUGAUGUCGGCCCGCCUUGCUUCGGCCCCCGCAUCCGCGACGAGCCUUUCCCCAAAGGGUUCUCGCUCCCAAGAGACACGCCCAAGUACAACGGCUCCGUGAAGCCGGAAGAUUGGUUGAUCGACUACUCCACAGCGGUUCGCAUAGCAAAUGGCAACAGGCGCGUUGCCGUGAAGUACGUGCCCCUCAUGCUACAAGGCACGACGCGGACCUGGCUCAAUAGCCUCAGGCCCUUCAGCAUCAACAGCUGGCUAGACUUCACAGAGGCCUUCGUCCGCAACUUCACCAACACCUACAAGCGGGCCCCCAAGCCCAGGCAGCUCUCCUUGUGCGUGCAAGGCCCCACCGAAUCCACUCGCGACUAGCUCACGCGUUGGGCCGAGCUCCGCAACUCUUGCGAAGGGGUGCACGAGGUGCAAGCCAUAGAAUACUUCACCGCCAGAUGCCGAGAAGGCACCCUCCUUAAGCACAAGCUCCUCUGCGACGAGCCGACUACCCUCGACGAGCUUCAGCGGACAAGUACGCCACCACCGACUCCUCAAUGAAGACUGAACUCCGGGUAGACGCGUCCGGGAAGGUAAUCAACCCAGCACCCAAGAUGCAUGCUGGGGACUCCGACCAACGCCCGUACCAGAACAACCACAAGCGCAAGGGCCCCAUGCCGCUCUCCACCAGUCGGCAGGUGGCCACAGUCGAGGACAAGCAGCCCGAAGGGCGGCCCGCACCCAAGAAGCAGAAGGGCGGCAGGCCGGCUUGGCAGCCGGCCUUCUCCUACGAGCAAACUCUCAAAGCCCCGUGCAAGUUCCACAGCGGCGCGAAGCCGUCCAACCACACAACCCGGAAGUGCCACUGGCUCACCCGAAUCUCCAAAGGUGAAGGGCUCGCGCCGCCUCCGCCUGCUAGUCCGCCGCCUCCGGCUCCGCAGCUGCCGACCGCUCGGCCAACAGUCGGAGCUGUGCAUGAUGAGUUCCCCGAUGAGCAUGCCGCCUAUGUCGUCUUUACAAGCCAGCCCGAAGGCCGGCGUAGCAGACGCCGAGAGCAUCAGGAAGUCAACGUGGUCGCUACCAACCCCGCCGAGCACAUGCACUGGUCAGAAAAGCCUAUCAGCUAGAGCCGGGCCGACCACCCAGAUGUGAUGCCAUCUCCCGACUCUUAUGCGUUGGUUUUGGAUGCCACCCUUGCAACGGACAAACGCGCCGCCCGUUUCUCCCCACGUGCUGAUAGACGGCGGGAGCAGCAUCAACAUCCUGUACCGUGACAACCUGGAGAAGCAUCAACAUCCUGUACCGUGACACCCUGGAGAAGCUGAACGUCAAUACGAAGCAACUCAUGCCUACUCGGACUGUGUCCCAUGGCAUUGUACCUGGCCUGUCCCGCGCCCCCAUUGGCAAGAUCAAGAUUGAUGUUCUCUUUGGGGACAAGGAUCAUUACCGCCGAGAAGCGAUCUGGUUUGAAGUGGUGGACCUGGAGAGCCCCUACCAUGCAUUGCUUGGCCGUCCUGCCUUGGCCAGGUUCAUGGCUGUUCCCCACUAUGCUUACCUCAAGAUGAAGAUGCCGAGCGCCAAGGGCAUCCUCACUAUAGCUGGCGAUUACAAGAAAUCUUCCGAGUGCGCUGCAGCCAGCAGCCGGCUGGCCGAGUCCCUUGUGAUUGCCGAAGAAAAGAAGAUGUUGGACCGAGUCGUGGCCAUGGCCGGCAACCACCUGGCCCUGCCACCCGAUCCCAAGGAGUGUGAUGCCCAAGGAUCUUUCCAGCCGGCCAAGGAUACGAAGAAGAUACCUCUUGACCCCGAGCACCCAGAAAGGUUUGCCGUCAUUGGGGCAAACCUAAAGAGCAAAUAGGAAGGCGAGCUCGCCGACUUCCUCCAUGAGAAUCGGGAUAUCUUUGCAUGGUCCCCUAAGGACAUGCCGGGUGUUCCGAAGAAGUUCGCCGAGCACAAGCUACACGUACGAGAAGGCGCAAAACCAGUCAAACAACCCCUCCGCCGACUGUCGGAGGAGAAACGAAGGAUUGUAGGAGAGGAGAUAGCCCGGCUUCUGGCAGACGGCUUCAUUAUGGAGGUUUUCUUUCCCGAGUGGCACGCCAACCCGGUCCUCGUGCUAAAGAAGAACAACAAAUGGCGAAUGUGCAUAGACUACAUGAGCCUCAACAAGGCCUGCCCCAAAGAUCCCUUUGCCCUGCCAAGGAUUGAUCAAGUGAUAGACUCCACGGCCAGAUGCGAGCUGUUGAGUUUCUUGGAUGCUUACUCAGGAUACCACCAGAGAAAGCUAGAUCCGGCUGACCGCCUGAAGACCGCCUUCAUCACGCCAUUCGGAGCUUUCUACUACCUGACUAUGACAUUCGCUUAAGAAAUGCCGGUGCCACUUUUCAGCGUUGCAUGCAGAAGUGCCUCCUCAAGCAGCUCGGCAGAAAUGCCCACGUCUACGUAGACGACAUUGUGGUGAAGACGGAGAAGCGCGACACCUUGCUGGAGGACCUCAAGGAAACAUUUGAGAACCUGCGUCGGUUCCAGAUCAAGCUCAACCCCGAGAAAUGCGUGUUCAGAGUGCCAGCCGGCCAGCUCCUAGGCUUCCUGGUCUCCGAACGUGGCAUCGAAUGCAACCCAGUAAAGAUCAAGGCCAUUGAGAGAAUGGCGAUUCCCACCAAACUUCGAGACGUCCAGAAGUUCACUGGGUGCUUAGCCUCCCUGAACCGCUUCAUCAGCCGGCUCGGAGAGAAAGCUCUCCCCCUCUACCGCCUCGUGAAGAAGACCACUCACUUCGAGUGGAACGCCCAAGCCGACCAAGCUUUUCAUGAGCUGAAGAAGAUGCUGGCCACGCCGCCUGUCCUGGCGGCGCCGACUGAGAAAGAGCCCAUGCUCCUCUACAUUGCUGCAACCAGCCGGGUGGUCAGCACCGUCAUCGUAGUCCAGCGCCCAGAAGAGGGCCGAGCCCAGCCGGUCCAGAGGCCGGUGUACUAUUUGAGCGAGGUGCUGUCUACGUCGAAGCAGAACUACCCGCACUACCAGAAGAUGUGCUAUGGCCUAUACUUCGCCGCCAAGAAGCUUAAGCCCUACUUCCAAGAGCACCCCAUCACGGUCGUAUGCACCGCCCCGCUUGCUGAGAUCAUAGGCAGCCGGGAUGCAUAUGGCCGGGAUGCGAAAUGGGCCAUCAAGCUGGCCCCCUACACGAUCUUCUACCAGCCUCGCACCGCCAUCAAGUCCCAAGCAUUGGCCGACUUCCUCGUCGACUGGGCCGAGACCCAAUACCUACCGCCAGCUCCCGACUCCACUCAUUGGCGCAUGCACUUCGACGGGUCCAAGAUGCGCACCAGCUUGGGAGCCGGCGUCAUCCUCACCUCUCCCAAAGGCGACAAGCUCAGAUACACGCUGCAAAUUCACUUUGCCGCCUUCCAACAACAUGGGCGAGUACGAGGCGCUGAUACACGGGCUUCGGCUUGCCAAAGAGCUCGGCAUACGCCGGAUCCUAUGUUACGGCGACUCGGACUUGGUAGUCCAGCAAUCAUCCGGCGACUAGGACGCCAAGGACGCAAAUAUGGCAAGCUACCGCUUCCUCGUUCAGCAGAUCAGCGGGUACUUUGAAGGAUGCGAGUUCCUCCACGUACCGCGAGCCGACAACGAGCCGGCUGAUACCCUGGCUCGAAUAGGCUCCACUCGGCAGGCAAUACCAACCGGUGUCUCUCUGCAACGCCUCCUCAAGCCGUCUAUCAAGCCGUCUCCAGAGUUCGAUUCCAUCUUCGUGCCGCCUGACCCCGACGCGGCCGGGUCCGGCUCGAAGAACCAAGCAGGUGACCCAAGGACUUCGAUAGUUGGCCCGGGGACAUUAGUAGGUGGCUCGGGGACUUCCGUAGUUACGCCUGACCCAGGGACUGCCACACCCGGCUCGGGGACUGCGGCAGUCGGCCCGGGGACUGCACCAACACAACAGGCGGCGGCCGACUCCAGCAUUUCACCACCCAGCCCACCCGCCCUGGUCGUAGUAGCCAUGUUGGCAAUAGAAGAAGUCGCAGCUCCAUCAUGGGCUCAAUCCAUCCUCAACUUCCUAAUAAACCAAGAUCUGCCGGCUGAUGAAACAGAGGCAAGACAAGUCCAACGCCGAGCCGGAGCAUACACAAUCAUCAACAGAGAGCUCGUCAGGCGCAGUGUCACUGGAGUCUUCCAGCAAUGCGUCGAGCAAGAGAAGGGCAUUGCAAUCCUCAGAGACAUCCACCACUGAGAAUGCGGCCACCAUGCGGCCUCAAGAUCACUCGUCGCCAAAGCUUUCCGCCAUGGAUUCUUUUGGCCGACUACUUUGGAUGACGCCAAGGAGUUAGUUAAACAUUGCAAAGGGUGCCAAGUCUUCAGCUCCAAGCAACACAUGCCGGCUUCGGCACUCAAGACCAUUCCCCUCACUUGGCCCUUCGCCGUUUGGGGACUGGACAUGGUGGGCCCAUUCAAGACGGCGUGCGGCGGCAUGACACAUCUGCUUGUCGCCGUGGACAAAUUCACCAAAUGGAUUGAGGCAAAGCCGAUCAAGAAGCUGAAUGGGCCAACUGCCAUGACAUUCAUCGCAGAUAUAACAACUCGCUACGGCGUGCCACACAGCAUCAUCACCGACAAUGGUACGAAUUUCGCCAAGGGAGCAUUGGCACGUUUCUGCGCGACGCAGGGCAUCCGGCUGGACUUAGCGUCCGUUGCCCACCCGCAGUCAAACGGCCAAGUCGAGUGAGCCAACGGCCUCAUCCUUUCCGGCAUCAAGCCCCGACUGGUCGUACCACUGGAACAUUCGGCCGGCUGUUGGCUCGAUGAGCUGCCGGCCGUCCUCUGGAGUCUGCGCACUACCCCAAACAAGUCAACCGGCUUCACUCCUUUCUUCCUCGUGUAUGGUGCCGAGGCGGUCAUCCCAACUGACAUCGAGUUCGACUCGCCUCAGGUAACCAUGUACACAGAGGCGGAGACCAAGGAAGCACGAGAAGACGGCGUCGACCUGCUGGAAGAAGGCUAGCUGUUAGCCCUCAGCCGGUCCGCCAUCUACCAGUAGGCUUGGCCGCUACCACAGCCGGAAGGUCAGACCAAGAUCUUUCCAAGAAGGCGACCUCGUGCUCUGGCUGAUCCAGCGAACAGCCGGCGAGCACAAGCUCUCGGCCCCUUGGGAAGGCCCCUUUGUCAUCAGUAGAGCGCUGGGAAAUGACUCCUACUACCUGAUCGACGCACAGAAGCCGAAGGUACAAAAGAGAGACGAAUCCGGCAAGGAGUCAGAACGACCAUGGAACGCCAACCUCCUCCGAAGAUUUUACAGUUGAAAUGUAGUAUGUAUCACGCUAACUUUUGUACUAAGUACGAGACAAUAGGCCCCCCGAGGAGAGCUUGGGGACAACCAUCUUUUAUCUAUAAAUGAAGAGUAUCAUGCUCAUGGUCAUGUCAUUACAUUCACUUUUUUCGUCCGGCACCGGGUUCGACUAGUCGGCCCGGGGACUGGCCGCCUUGAGUUAUAUUAGAAGUCCUACCCGCGGUCAGACAAGUAGUGUGCUGGCACCAAAGCCUUCUCUUGCCAAAAGUCACAGUUUGAAGAACCGGCUGUCCAGCUGGCAAGAGUUAAAGGAAGGAAAGGACGCCCACACGAAAAACGGCUAGGGACUAACGGACUAAUAUAACAAAAGCCGGUUUUUCUCCCACCACUGACCGACUACCAGAGUAGCCGGCCAGCCGGCUUCCAUUCACCUCGCUUCAAUCUAAGAAAGCUCGAGUACUUGCCUUUCCAAAAAAACAGCCAAGUUCUUCCCUAGCCACAGGCUGCAGAGCAGCUGCCGGUUGGGAAGGCAGCAGCCAGGGGAAGGCGGCAAAGGAAACAGCCUAAAGAUAAAAAAAGCAUACGCGAAUGGAAGCCAAACACACACACGAUCAUAUUUACACAAAAGGCCUUUGAAAGGUCAGCAUUCAACAUAGUUUGAAUACACCCCCAGUGGGUGGAACUGCGCAAGUUUAAUAAAAAUUGUUCAAAGAGUAACAAGCAGGAAAAGCAAGGAUGGCAGAUUAAGCCAAGGGAGCGACUGGCGAGUCGGGCAGGUUGGUAGAGACGGCAGUGCUAGCUGGAGGAGUGGCCGGCUGGCGAACCUCGGCAUGAUCACCACCUCCCGCAGAGGGCGCGCUAGCACACGCCUCAUUGCUGGAGGCACGGUCAGGCUGCGGCUGGCUGGCCGCUUCACCGGCCGGCUCGACGUCUUCGCCUUCCUCUCCUUCGUCGUCUUCACCUUCAUCGCUGGAAGCGAUCUCCUCCGCCGAGUCCUCACCCUCUGCCGGGUCCAGCCCGAACCAUUCCUUCGGCUGGGCAACGCCGUCAUUAUUUAUCUCAGGAGCAAAGACGCUGAUGUUGGUGCACUCGGCGAUCGUCGAGGCACGCUGAGCGAUAGCCGGCCUCACCUCCUCCAUCUCCUCGUCGGCCUCCAGCCGCCAGGUGCGCCGCUGGUCCAGGUUCAGCCCAGGAUACCAGGCUCAGACGAACUCCAGCACCCGCCCAGCUCCAAGACGGGCCACCGAUGCCUUCCAGGCCUCGAAGCGGCCAACCGCAACCUCCAGCCAGUCGGCAGUCCGACUCGGGGUGCGGGGAAUCGUUUCGCCUAGCCAGAGGGCGGCCAACACCUGCGCCCCGGCGCGCUGGAGGUGGCGGAGCAUGCGGUGAGCCGGCUGUAGCCGGGCUUGGACCGCUAAGAGUUGCUCCUCAAGCGUCCGGCUCGCGUCCGGCGCGAUUUCAGCCCCCGGCUGCCGGCGCGCCUGGCGGUGGGCCUCGAUGGUCUGGGUGGCAAAGACGGAGUAGCCGGGGAAGUAGUCUGCACAAAGAACAAAAAGCAGCACAAGUCAGAACACAAAUCAGAGGGCAAGGGGCAAGCAAGGAGUGAGGAAGGCGGCUUACCAUCGAUCAGAUCCUCAACACGGUCGAAGCCCUCGCUCAGCGCUUGUUUUGCCUCAGCCCAGCCCGCCGCUUCGGUCUCGAACUCAGCUUUGAGGGCGUCCUCGCUGUCCUGCGCCUUCUUCAGGGCCGCCUUGUGGCUCUCCUCCUAGUCGGCCAACUUCUUGGCCAGGCGGUCACGCUCCAGGACCAAGGCGUUGUUGUCGGCGUUCUGGGAACGGGGGUCCCCAGACUUGCCUGCCUGCGGCCUGCAGCGUGGCUCAAAGGAGGCCCAGCACGGCCCGUCUUCAUCAACGCAAGACUCAAGACCCUUGCGAGGGGCCAAGCCUCGCGGGGCGGACGACACGGACCUUCCUCAGGCACGGCCUCAUCAGGCUGGCUCGCGAGGAGGCGGAGAGAUCAAGGCGGGGUACCUUGCGAGGUGCCCGUGACACGAGCAAUGACGACUCGGGGCGCCAGGCGGGUGCCAGCCCGCGCAGCGUCCUCCUUUCCUCUUUAGUGCAAAGGGGACAAGCGCAGCCGCGGGGUACCGAGGCAUCAAGCAAAGGUUGCCAUUUCGGUGCAACGAGACCAAGACCAGGAGGACUACGAGACGGAGGUCACCGUGGAUCCCAAGACGGCGUCAUCACCAGAGCUUUGCGCGGGCGAAGACUGCUUUUGUCAGGAUAGCUGAUACUUGUUGUCCCCCUUGAAAUUAGCCCGCCAUUGUUGGCUCACUUCCCGCUCAAUAUUUGGGAAGAGGACCAGGGCCUCUAUAAAUAGGACCAGCCACCCACAUAGCAAGGGGGGGUCGGUUCGGUCGAUUGGCUAGAGAGAGAGAGAGAGAAAGGUGGCUGAACUCCUCCCAGCAGUUCAUCGCCCCAUCCAAGAACAGACCCUCGCGAGGCUGUUCUUCAUUGUAUUGUUCAUCAUCUCCAGCCCCUAGAGGCAAUCCACCCACCACACAUUGGAGUAGGGUAUUACACCACAACGGUGGCCCGAACUAGUAUAAACCCCGUGUCUCUUGUGCUGUUCUUUCGGUAGUCUAGAUCUUUACGAGACGGAGAAGUAGAAGGCGUAAUCUCCGCGCGCACCCCAGUGUUCGAACCUUAAGGGUCUGUCGAAACCCGAAAUCCGACAGUUGUACUCGGCUUCCUUGGCACGAAGGGCGGCCUGGGCCCCGCUGAGCUGCCCCCUCAAGUCGGCAUUGGCUCCUGCAAGCAUGAAGACAAAGAAAAAAUCAAUAAGGAAGAAGUCGUCAGGGAAGAUCUGACCCGACUGCUCAGCAGUCGGCCCGAAUCUCGGGGACUACACCCAGUGGGUGUGCUGACGCGCCCCCAUAGGAGAUGAACGAGACAAAGCACGCACUCCGGCUGUUGGUCAGGUCCUCGGUUUUCCGGCCCAGCUCCUGAGCCUGGGAGUUGAAGGCAGCAGCGCGGAGGUUAUGGUAUUCCUGGAAGAUCAGACAGGAUGCAAGGUUAAGAUAGCUGUCAGGACCUAGUAAGUUCCAAGCCGCCUGCUCAGCAGCCGACUCGGAACUCGGGGACUACACCCAGUGGGUGCGCUGACGCGCCCCCACGGAAGGAAUCAAAAAAGCAAAACAACCAAGGCCCGCGUCGUGAGGAACUCUUGGGUAUAUCGCUGCAGCGAAGCGGCCUGGGCUUGAAGCCGGUUCCGGACCUCCUGGGCCGUCGUGUUUAGCUCGGCCGUCCCCUCGCUGGGCGUCCACUCGGACGUGCUGGCGCUGGCGGCCUCCAGGCCCUCCGCCGUCUAGCUGACGCCCGCAGCUCUGUGCGGCCUCGGCACGGAGGUAGCUCCCCCUGCGCGCCGGCGAAAUGCCGGCUGCACCUUGAGGCCGGCCCCUGCCUCCGGCUCGCCCCCGGCUGGCUGCUCUGGCGCCGCAGCUGGUUGGCCGCUUUGGCCCGCUCCAGUCGGCGCCGUCUGUGGCGCCUGCUCCAUGAAGACCAUGUGGUCCUUCCUCCUCUCCAUCACCGGCGGGUCUUGGUCGACCUCCUCCGACGGAGGCACGGGGAUGUCGGGGACCAUGGCACGGAGGGGAACGACGAGCUGCGGAGGCUGGUUGUGCGAGGCCUCCACCUCCGUCUCCGUGGCUGCCGCCUCCGCCCGGGCCUUGGCCGCCACGUCGGCCUGCUCCUUCGCCACCUGGGCGGUCCUUCGCUCUGCCGCCUCCCGCUCCUCCCACGCCUCCCGUGCGUUCCGCUCCGUGGCCUCCAUGAGGUCGGCGCGGGGAUCCACGCGGUGGGAGCCUGAGGACCCUCCAGUCGGCCCGACUAUGGAGCCGCCAGGGCCUCGCUCGAGGGAAAGCGGUGCCCUGCCCGCCGAUCAAAGAGAGAUUUAGAAGAACCUCAAUCGAAGAGGACAACAAAAAAUACAAGACAUUUAACGCUUACGCCGAGAUCGCUUGCAGCUGUUUCACCGCCUUGCAGAAGCGGGCUGCCUUCGCGGCCGCCUCAUCCCGCUUGGUCGCCGCCGUGGAACCCUUGGAUUUCUUCGGCCGGCUGCCGAAGUAGGUCGACACGGCCCGACGUUUCUGCGCACCUCCACGGGCAGCCGGCGCGGCAGACGGGCCCGCGCCUUGAUGAUCAAGCGCCGGCUGGCGGUGCGGAACGACUUCGACCUCGUCAUCGUCCGCCCUGUCCUCGAGGUCGGCCCCGAGCCCCGCGCCGCCUGCCUCGUCGCCUUCCCCCAUGAUGGCAUCUUCCAUGGCGGCCGCUCCCAGGUCCAGAUCAUCAACGUCGUCCACCGUGCGGUCGGGGAGGAGCUGGUGCUCUAUCCCUGCGGCCCCGGCCGUCGGCGGAAGAAGAGGGUUCUGCUAAGGACAAACCAAUUGAUCAGUAGUCGGCCAUCACGAGGCCGGCUACAAAAAGGAAGAAAAGAAGAAAAACUUACGGCAGGCGGAGGGUUGGCGCGAGAAUACGGCCCCUUGCCGUACCGCCAAUCCUCGGCGAGCUUGCAGUUGGAGAUGUAGUUCACCAUGUAAGACACCUCGGCAUGAGGCAUCUCCCUGGUGCUCAGCCGGCACGGGUCGAAGCGGCCGCUCAUCAGGCAAAUCAUGUGAGGCCAGCCUUGGAGCGGAAGUACUCGGCGCUCCAUGAAGGCGGCCACCAGGUCGGCUCCGGUCAGGCCCUCCGACUGGAUCAUCACCCGGAGGUGGGAGACGGCUGCGUUCCCGGCCUGAGACAAUGACCUGGCCCGGUAGCUCCACGAGGGUUGCCUCCCAGCCGGCGGGCCGACUACGUAAGCCGGCAGGUUGACGAAGUCGCCUUGCUGGGUGACGUUCUUCACGUAAAAAUAGGACUUCUGCCAGAGCUUCACCGACUGGAUUAGCGGGAUGGGAGGGAACGGAUUGUUCUCGCCCGUCCGCCUCAUGGCAAUGAAGGAUCCACAGGGGGCGGGCAUGCCCGCGACAAUGGUGUCGAGCUUGCUUUGGAAGAAUUCUCCCCAAAGCUCGAGAGUGGGGAGAACCCCAAGAAAGCCCUCGCACAGGGUGACGAAAGCCGACAGCAGCAUCACCGCGUUGGGCGUGAGGUGAUGCGGCUGGAGGUGGUAAAAUUCAAGAAAAGCGCGAAGGAAUCCGCUCGCCGGGAGGCCGAAGCCGCGCAGGCAGUGCGAGCGGAAGAUUACCCGCUUGCCCUCCUCCGGUGCCGGCGAAAUCUCCCUCGCCAGCGCAUGACGAACCCGCAUGUAGUUCUCGCCCGGCAGACACCGCGUCCGGCGGAGGAACUCAACGUGGUCCUCGUGGACGUUGGAGCCAUCCCACAAGCUCGACAAUGCCAUGGGAGCGACGCGGCGAGGAACAAGGCGAUGCGACGGUGGAGCGGCGCGGCAAUGGGUCGCUGCAGCGGCGAAGGGAAGAAGAAGGAAGGUGAGAAGGGGCGGAGCGAGGGAGAGCGUGUGAGCCUCUGCCGCUCCCUCUCCUCCCCCUACUUAUAGACCCCCGCGGCGGAGCCAAGGAGGCGUGGUGUGGGGGAACAUGGGAUCAACUGCGCCCACUCCCCCACGUCCCGCGAUUAUUGCGCCCUAAUGGCAUAAUAAAACCGCCGCGGGAAGGCGAGCGGUCCAUUGUGGGCCACAGAAGAUCCGCGCUCGGGCCGAGGCCUAGGAGUGACGGGCCCGGGCCUGCGGCAGCGUCCCAUCGCGCGUGUGCGUUGGCAGGUUUUCCUUGCCACAUGGCCCGCGAGAUGGCGUGCGGUCAGCUCGCAGGACGACCCACGUUCCCGCCUACAAGAAACGGAGCUUUCCGAAGAUGGCGCGCAUAAGCAAAGCCGGCUCCUCAAGAUAGGAAGCUGACCAAGCUUCUCGUCCCUUUGUCAGCCUCGAAGCUCGAUCAGCUUCGGGGACUACUGUCGGAGUAAAUGACCACGGGCAGCCUAGCCGGCUCCCCCUGGCCCUUCUGAAAAAAUUACGAGCCGAUCCGGCCCUCAAGAAUCCAAGACGUGGGGCCGCCUUCCCCUUGCCGGCUGUCUCCCAGGGCGACUAUCGGAAGGCGGCCCGGCUUUAGUCCUCAUGAAGAAAGCCGCGGGAGGGCCGGCUCCAAGAAGCCGACUCCCACAAAGAGGUCAAGAUCAUACCCUCGAAGUCCGCAUCCACAUAACGGCGAUGUGACGGGGAGUGGCUACAGUAAAUCCUGUCACCCUCGAAUCCCGGAGCACGCCUGGCACAGUGCACCGUACGGGGUGGCCAGUACCCGUCCGACGCGGCACUAUUGCCAUGUUGACCCUGAUGCCACCCACGACGGGCUGUCAGCGCGGCCCAUGGGCGGUGGGCCCCUUCAGGCAGAGAGACACCCGAAGGCGGCCAGGCCUCCCCUAGUCGGCCCAAGACGGGGCCGGCUCCCCACAGCUGGCUUGCUUCCUCCCUCGAAGGAGACGCCCCAUUAAGGGGACAAGACGAGGCGUGGCUACAGCGAUCGCCCGCCGGGCGGCGGCACUGUAGCCACGCUUACCUCGGCGAAGCCCUCAUCACCAGGUUUGAGGCAACAGUGACCAGCCACCGAGAAGGCCCUUGACAGUGGGGCCUGCCUGUCGACCAAGGAGCCGGCAGCCGGCGGGACCCACUAGCCGGCGGGCCCCAGCAGCCGGCGCAGAAGCCGGCGAGUGUAGACACAGAUGGCUAGGGCCCACGCCCAGCCGGAUUACCAUUGUACCCCCAGGGGGUGGGCCUAUAUAAACCCCCCGGGGCACCCAUGCAAAGGGUUGACCUACGCUAGUUUUAGACACCACAGAGAGAGGAGAGGAGAGCUAGCCGUGCCUUUCUUCUUCUUCUCACCAAACAGCUCAAGGAGCAUCUUGUAGCCACUCGUUCAUCUAGUGAUCAUGCAGAGACCCCGCAGAGCAGCAGUAGGGGUGUUAUCUCCUCGGAGAGCCCCGAAGCUGGGUAAGAUUCACCGGCGUGCAUGUCUUCGCCUCAUCCCGCUUCCAGGCACCGGCGACGUCUUGCUGGCUCCCACAAUGAUAGGCCACCCGUUGGCAUAUGUCGCACCUACCACCCGACAGACCCUAAGAAACACCUUCCUUACCAAUGUGAGUUUAGUGAUAAUGGAAUCGUAUCUUCGUAAACUAAGGGUGUUUAUAAUUACUAUGAUGUUCAACAAAUUGAAGAAUUUGUUGCUUUUAGGGGUACUUGUGAAAUUGCUUCUUGAAGAGUGUGAUACUACCCUCUACAAAUCUGAAAAUUUGGCCAUACUUAAAUAUUGCUAUGAUAAUUAUGCUUCUAAUCCUUAUAUUAAACCUUAUAUUGAGGACUCCUUGGUCUAUGGAAGAAGAAAUUGAUGACAUUGUGAGCUCAUUGGAUGAGAAAGAUGAGGAGGAGAGCGAAGAACAAAACGAGGAAGAGCGUAUUGAUCACCCAUUCCCACCAUCUAAUGAGAGUAACUCUUUAUCCCAUACACUGUUUAAUUUCCCUUCGAAUUUACCAAAGGAUGAAUGCUAUGAUGAUUGUUAUGAUCCUGUUGAUUCUUCUGAAAUAUCCCUUUUGGAUGAUGCUUGCUAUGCUUGUGGCCAAGAUGCCAAUAUGAAUUAUUCUUAUGGAGAUGAACUUGCUAUAGUUCCCUAUGUUGAACAUGAAAUUGUUGCUAUUGCACCCACGCAUGAUAGUCCUAUUAUCUUUUUGAAUUCUCCCGACUACACUAUAUCGGAGAAGUUUGCCCUUAUUAAGGAUUAUAUUGAUGGGUUGCAUUUUACUACUACACAUGAUGAUUUUGAUAGAUAUAAUAUGCAUGUGCUUGCUGCUCCUACUUGCAAUUAUUAUGAGAGAGGAACUACAUCUCCGCCUCUCCAUGUUUCCAAUAUGAUAAAAUUGCAAGAAACUAUUUAUACUAUGCAUUGGCAUUUACUAUGUUUGCAUGAAUUGUUUUUUAUGACAUGCCGAUGCAUAGGAAGAGAGUUAGACUUAUUUGUUGCAUGAUAUAUGUUACUUUGUGCUCACUACUAAAUCACAAAUCAUUGUUAAUUAAAAUUAGCUUUGAUAUACCUUGGGAUCUGGGUGGAUCCAUUACUUGAGCACUAUAUGCCUAGCUUAAUGGCUUUAAAGAAAGCGCUGCAAGGGAGACAUCCCGGAAGUUUUACAGAGUCAUUUAUUUCUGUUGUGUUAUUUUAUAAAGUUUAAAAACAAAAUAAAAAUAAAUAGGGAACCUAAAACUUUUUCAAAAAGAAAAGCGAAAGUAAGAAAGGCGAGCAUUGUUAAAGUGGGAGCUAGCCUUGAAAUUUGUUCAUGCCCAUGGAAACUUUGUGACCCUUGAUUACAGAAACUUUUCAACAAAAAUAAUUAUCCCCUUGUACAAAUCCAUUGUAUCAUAAAAAUAAUGUGCCAAGAUUUUCCUUUAGGAUAUUUACAUUGCUUGUUGGUUCGUGCGGUGCAAAACAGAAACUUUGGUUGUAGUGCAUGAUUUUACAUUUUUACUGGAACGUCAAACAGUUCUGAAACCUUUUGCACUGGCUUUCUAUACAAAUUGUUAUUUUUCCUAAUUUUUUCAGAAUUUUUGGAGUACUAGAAGUAUGGUGAAUGUUCAGAUUAUUACAGACUGUCCUGUUUAAGACAGAUUUUGUUUUUCAUGCAUAGUUUGAUGAAACUAUCGAUUUCUAUCAGUGGAUUAAGCCAUGGAAAAGUUAUAUAAAAGUAUCUAAAAUGCAAAAACAAAAUAUGAACUGGUUUGCAAUAGUACUUAGAGUAGUGAUUUGCUUUAUUAUACUAACGGAUCUUACCGAGCUUUCUGUUGAGUUUUGUGUGGAUGAAGUGAUCAAAGAUUGAGGAGGUCUCGAUUUGAGGAGAAGGAGGAGAGGCAAGAGCUCAAUCUUGGGGAUUCCCAAGGCACCCAAGUAAAUAUUCAAGAAGACUCAAGCGUCUAAGCUUGGGGAUGCCCUGGAAGGCAUCCCAUCUUUCUUCAACAAGAAUCGGUAUGUUUUCGGUUUCGUUUUGUUCAUGUGAUAUGUGCAAAUCUUGGAGCGACUUUUGCAUUUAGUUUUCGCUUUUCUUCGAUGCACCAUGCUUGUAUGAGAUAGUCCAUGGUUGAUUUUAUAGAAUGCUCAUUGCACUUCACUUAUAUCUUUUGAGUAUGGCUUUAUAGAAUGCUUCGUGUGCUUCACUUAUAUCAUUUGAAGUUUGGAUUGCCUGUUUCUCUUCACAUAGAAAACCGCCAUUUGUAGAAUGCUCUUUUGAUUCACUUAUAUUUGUUAGAGCGUGGGCAUAUCUUUUGUAUAAAUAAAUAAACUCUUUUGCUUCACUUAUAUCUAUUUAGAGAGAUGACAGGAAUUGGUCAUUCACAUGGUUAGUCAUAAAAAUCCUACAUAAGACUUGUAGAUCACUGAAUAUGAUAUGUUUGAUUGCUUGCAAUAGUUUUGUGAUAUAAAGGUGGUGAUAUUAGAGUCAUGCUAGUGGGUAGUUGUGGAUUGUAGAAAUACUUGUGUUGAAGUUUGUGAUUCCCGUAGCAUGCACGUAUGGUGAACCGUUAUGUAACGAAGUUGGAGCAUGAGGUAUUUAUUGAUUAUCUUCCUUAUGAGUGGCGGUCGGGGACGAGUGAUGGUAUUUUCCUACCAAUCUACCCCCCUAGGAUCAUACGCGUAGUACUUUCUUUCAGUGAGUAAUAGACUAUUGAAUAAGUAUAUGAGUUCUUUAUGACUAAUGUUGAGUCCAUGGAUUAUACACACUCUCACCCUUCCAUCAUUGCUAGCCUCUUCGGUACCGUGCAUUGCCCUUUCUAACCUCGAGAGUUGGUGCAAACUUCGUUGGUGCAUCCAAACCCCGUGAUAUGAUACGCUCUAUCACACAUAAGCCUCCUUAUAUCUUCAUCAAAACAGCCACCAUACCUACCUAUCAUGGUAUUUCCAUAGUCAUUCCGAGAUAUAUUGCCAUGCAACUUCCAUCAUCUUCAUAUACAUGACUUGAGCAUCAUUGUCAUAUUGCUUUGCAUGAUCGUAAGAUAGCUAGCAUGAUGUUUUCAUGGCUUGUCCGUUUUUUGAUGUCAUUUCUACACUAGAUCAUUGCACAUCCCGGUACACCGCCGGAGGCAUUCAUAUAGAGUCAUAUCUUUGUUCUAGUAUCGAGCUGUAAUAUUGAGUUGUAUGUAAAUAAAAGUGUGAUGAUCAUCAUUAUUAGAACAUUGUCCCAUGUGAGGUUAUCAAAAUAAAAGUGGCCAGAGAAGCCCCCCCCCCAAAAAAAGAUUGAGAGGCCAAAGAAGCCUACAAAAAAAGGAAAAAAAGAAAAAAAUAAAAAAUAAAAAAUGAGAGAAAAGAGAGAAGGGAAAAUGUUACUAUCCUUUUACCACACUUGUGCUUCAGCGUAGCACCAUGUUCUUCAUAUAGAGAGUCUCUCUAGUUAUCACUUUCAUAUACUAGUGGGAAUUUUAUUUAUAGAACUUUGCUUGUAUAUUCUAAUGAUGGGCUUCCUGAAGUGCCCUAGGUCUUCAUGAGCAAGCAAGUUGGAUGCACACCCACUUAGUUUCAGUUUGAGCUUUCAUACACUUAUAGCUCUAGUGCAUCUGUUGCAUUGCAAUCCCUACUCCUCGCAUUGACAUCAAUUGAUGGGCAUCUCCAUAGCCCGUUGAUUAGCCGCAUCGAUGUGAUAAUUUCUCCCUUUUUGUCUUCUCCGCACAACCUCCAUCAUCAUAUUCAAUUCCACCUAUAGUGCUAUAUCAAUGGCGCACGCUCAUGUAUUGCAUGAAAGUUGAAAAGGUUUGAGAACAUCAAAAGUAUGAAACAAUUGCUUGGCUUGUCAUCGGGGUUGUGCAUGAUUUGAAUGCUUUUGUGGUGAAGAUGGAGCAUAGCCAGACCAUAUGAUUUUGUAGGGAUAACUUUCUUUGGCGAUGUUAUUUUGAAAAGACAUGAUUGCUUUAUUAGUAUGCUUGAAGUAUUAUUGUCUUAAUGUCAAAUGAUAGACUAAUGCUUAGAAUCACUCGUGUCUUAAUAUUCAUGCCAUGAUUAGAUUACAUGAUCAAGAUUAUGCUAGGUAGCAUUCCACAUCAGAAAUUAUCUUUUUUAUCAUUUACCUACUAGAGGACGAGCAGGAAUUAAGCUUGGGGAUGCUGAUACGUCUCCAUCGUAUCUAUAAUUUUUUAUUGUUCCAUGCCAAUAUUCCACAACUUUUAUAUACUUUUGGCAACUUUUUAUACUAUUUUUGGGACUAACAUAUUGAUCCAGUGCCCAGUGCCAGUUCCUGUUUGUUGCAUGUUUUUUGUUUUGUAGAAAAUCCGUAUCAAAUGGAGUCCAAACAGGAUAAAAACUUACGGAGAUUUUUUUGGAAUAUGUGUGAUUUUUGGGAAGAAGAAUCAACGCCCCUCCGCCGCCCCAGGGGGUGGGCGCGCCCCUGACCCUCAUGGCCACCCCGUAAGGCGGUUGGUGCCCUUCUUUCGCCGCAAGAAAGCCAAUAUCCGGAUACAAAUCAUGUUAAAAUUUUAGCCCAAUCGGAUUUAUGGAUCUCCGGGAAUAUAAGAAACGAUAAAAGUCCAGAUUCUGAAAGGCGGAAACAGAGGGAGACAGAGAGACAUAUCAAAUCUUGGAGGGGAUCUCGCCCCUCCGCCACCAUGGAAGCCAUGGACCAGAGGGGAAAUCCUUCUCCCAUCUAGGGAGAAGGUCAAGGAAGAAGAAGAAGAAGGGGGGCCCUCUCCCCCUCUCUCCCGGUGGCGUCAGAACGCUGUUGGGGCCAUCAUCGUGUGACGGCGAUCUACACCAACACCUCUGUCAUCUUCACCAACAUCUUCAUCACCUUCCCCCAUCUAUCAAUAGUGGUCCACUCUUCCGCAACCCGUUGUACCCUCUACUUGAACAUGGUGCUAUAUGCUUCAUGUUAUUAUCCAAUGAUGUGUUGCCAUCCUAUGAUGUCUGAGUAGAUUUUCGUUAUCCUAUCGGUAAUUGGUGAAUUGCUAUGAUUGGUUUAAUUUGCUUGUGGUUAUGUUGUUGUCCUUUGGUGCCCAUCAUAUGAGAGCGCACGUGGAUCACACCAUAGGGUUAGUUGUAUGUUGAUAGGACUAUGUAUUGGAGGGCAAGAGUGACAGAAGCUUCAACCUAGCAUAGAAAUUGAUGCAUACAGGAUUGAAGGGGGACCAAUAUAUCUUAAUGUUAUGGUUGGGUUUUACCUUAAUGAAUGUUAGUAGUUGCGGAUGCUUGCUAAUAGUUCCAAUCAUAAGUUCAUAUAAUUCCAAGUCGGGAAUGACAUGCUAGCAGUGGCCUCUCCCACAUAAAACUUGCUAUCGGUCUACUUACGUAGUCAAUUGCUUAGGGACAAUUUCGCAACUCCUUACCACCACUUUUCCACACUCGCUAUACUAACUUUAUUGCUUCUUUACCUAAAACAGCCCCUAGUUUUUAUUUACGUGCUCUUUAUAUUCUUGCAAACCUAUCCCAUUACACCUACAAAGUACUUGUAGUUUCAUACUUGUUCUAGGUAAAGCGAACAUUAAGUGUGCAUAGAGUUGUAUCGGUGGUCAAUAGAACUUGAGGGAAUAUUUGUUCUACCUUUAGCUCCUCGUUGGGUUCGAUACUCUUACUUAUCGAAAGAGGCUACAGUUGAUCCCCUAUACUUGUGGGUUAUCAAAAGGCGAAGGACGAGAACGAACCACCGGAGCCGGCGAAGGCAUAGUAGAUGUCGUGCCUUAUUUCUACCGAAACUACUGAACUAGCCUAGUGGCCAAGUGACACUACCCGACCGUUGUACCAACCGGGUUUGAUUCCACCUGAUGCAUUGAAAAUAUCUCCAAAUUUUUUCCUCUGCCAUUAUUAACAUGUGGGUCCCCAUUGCCACCUAUGCACACCACGUCCAACACUUGCCAAAACUUCGUCCCUCGUUUUCUCUGUUUUUCGCACACUCGACAUUGUGUGGGCAUUUUGAAAAUAGCAUAUCUUUUUGACUGUGCAUCAUAUGAAGAUGUGCGAUGCAUGAAUGUUGAUCAGCAUGAUGUUAACUGGCUGGUAGUUCCACUUUCGACCAUGAAUAAAACUUCCAACAUGAUGGUAUCCCUGUUUGAAAAGGGCGAGUUAAUAUAAAUGCUCUGCCUCUGAAACUUGCAGUUUCUUAUCUGAAACUGAAACUUGCAGUUUCUUCUCUGAGAAUCACAUUGUCUGCACUUCUGUAUGAAACCACAUUUUAAGUGCUAAAAAUAGAUCUCUGGAAUUCAUAAAAUACUCCAUAUGCUCAAUACUGCAAAUCUGAAAUUCAAAAGACAUUCAUAUCUGAAAGUACUCUCAAAAUACACAACACAAAACACAAUUCACAACCUGCAAAUACUGACAAACCUAAGCUCCUCCUGACAAUUCACAUCCUUCCCGACUAUUGGGUUGGGGGGCAGCCCCCUCCUAUUCCUCGGCGGCAGACAACCGCCCCGUGAGACGAUGUGAACAGUGAGCGAGAGGAUGGCGGGGAAGCAUUGUCGGGCCAACUGCUUUCCAUCUCUUGCAGUUUGGUUCAGUCGACGAAGACUCCAGCGGCUUGCUCUGGCACGACACCCUCACAAACGGCACCCUGUAGAUGCUCAAUCCUUCAAUCUCUGGUGGAUGCUCAAUCUGGGAUCGAUACUCCCACCACCGCUGCCUCAUGAUCGGAUUAGGUGAAUCUGUUUGCUCCAUGGCCCAGAGGAGCGGCUCUAUGUACUCCCGCGCGAGUCCCUCCGGGAGUAUCGCCGCCUUUUCAGUAUGUUGCAAAUAUUUGGCCAUGGAUGUCACCGUCGCCGCUAGUUGGUCCUUGCUGUCAAACCAAGAUUGUAUCUCCAACAUCCUAGCUAGCUUCAUAGGGUCGCCGUCUGCGAUCCUCACGUAUUGGUUGUAUUCCUCCAUCGAUCUACUUCUCCACAGCACCUUCACUUGCCGAUGGUGGUUUUUGAACGGAAGAGGAGAGGAGCGGCGUUGGUUUUGGAUUAGAACGGGAGCGGAGCGGAGCUGGUUCUGGAUUGGAAUAGGAGAGGCGGGCGGUGGUUUUUGUCGGUGUUUUGGGAAUGGGGGUCCCCAGACUUGCCUGCCUGCAGCCCGCGGCGUGGCGGAGCCUGCAGGCCGUACGGCCCAUCUUCGUCAACAAGGCACCCAAGACCCUCGCGAGGGUCCAAGCCUCACGAGGCGGACGAUGCAAGACCUCCUUUGGAGUUGCCGAGCCAGGCAGGCUCACGAGGAGCGGAGAUAUCAAGGCGGGGCAAAACCUCAUGAGGCUCUCGUGACGUGAGCCAUGACAAUCGACACCAGGCGGGCGCCAGGCGGGCGCCAGCGCGCGCAGUGUCCUUGUUUCCUCUUUGGUGCAAAGGGGGCAAGCGCAGCUGCAGAGUACCGAGGCAUCAGGCAAAGGUUGCCAUUUUGAUGCAACAAGACCAAGACUAGAAGGACGGCAAAAUGGAGGUCAUCAUGGAGCCCAAGACGGCAUCACCACCAGAGCCUUUCACAGGCGCAGACUACCUUUUGUUAGGAUAGCUUGUACUAGUUGUCCCCCUUCAAAUUAGCCCGCCAUUGUUGGCUCCCUUCCCGCUCAAUAUUUGGGAAGAGGACCAGGGCCUGUAUAAGUCGAGCUAGCCACCAUAGUAGGGAGGGGAGAUGGAUCGGACCCAGAUAUACACACAAGUCCGAAAGCACAAGAACACCUCAACCUCAGGAGGUUGUUCUUCCCCUUGUAUUGUUCAUGAUCAGCCCAAGAGGCAAUCCACCACCACCACACUGCAGUAGGGUAUUACACCAAAACGGUGGCCCGAACCAGUAUAAACCCCGAGUCUUUCUGUGUUGUGAGUUCGUCGAGUUCGUCCGCAAGAUCUUAGCGAGCUAGAGCGUAGAUCGGUAGGAGGGAAAGACUUCACGCGCACCCAGUGUUCGAACCUUAAGGGUUAGCCGGAACCCCACAUCCGACAUUUGGCGCGCCAGGUAGGGGUGCACCGGGGCUCCUCUCCACCAACCUGCGCCCCGCGCCAUCGCACUUCGCUCCCAUGGCAGGUGCCCUGCCACCCACCUCUGCGACUGACACCAGCAACAGGGAGUCUGGGUACCGAGCCCUGGCCCUAGCCCUGCGCCGAGUGUAGUGGCCAACCAAGUUCAAGCCGGAGAUGCCGUCGUGUUACGACGGUGCGGCAGACCCGGCGCCGUUCCUGCUGGCGUGCGAGGAGGCCGUCCUCGAAGCCAGGGGUGACGACAAGAUCAUGGCCAACUUGUUCCCCAUGGCCCUUGCCGGCGAGCCGCGCGCCUGGCUGCUCAACCUCCCGGGAUCCACAGUGGCAUCCUGGGGGGAACUCCGCGACCUCUUCACCGCGCGCUAUGCGGUGCCGGCGCACCACGCAGUCGCGGCACUUCUGGGUGGCUCUCAAGGACCACCUUCAGAUCGCCACGUCAAACCUUUCUUGCGUCAUAUUGGGGCAGCCACCAGGCGCCCGAAGGCUCCGCCGGGUUGGGCCGCGCCGGAGGCCGACCUCACCUUCAGCUCGGAAGACCACCCUGAGUCCACCGCCGGCUCCGGGAUGCUCCCGAUGCUCUGCACGCACACCAUCUGCAAUGUGGCCGUCACCAAGACCCUCGUCAACGGCGGCGCCGGCCUCAACUUGCUCUCCGUAGAAGCCUUCAGCCUUCUUCAUGUGCCGCUCGAGUGGCUCGGCCUCAGCAAGCCCUUCAUGGGAGUAGGUGGUGGAGCUGCCCACUCUCUGGGGCAGAUUCGCCUCCCUGUCACCUUUGCAUGCGAGACAACUAUCGCACCGAGCUGGUGGACUUUGACAUCACUCGCAUCAGUCUCCCAUACAACGCCAUCCUCAGGUACCCGGCUCUCGCUCAGUUUAUGUUGGCGACUCACCUGGCCUACAACCUCAUGAAGAUGCCAGGGAGCAAGGGCGUCCUCACCAUCAAGGGGGACACUAAGGAGGCCGUGACGGUGCUCAGGCUCGCCUUCAAGACCACGGCAGCGACACAGCCAGACGGCACCGGUGCGCCCGAGGCAUAGGAGACCACGCCCACCAAGAAGAGGCGACUGUUCACCCAAGACAAGGCGGAGACCAAGCAGGUGCCGGGCAACGAGGACGGGUCUUUAGGAGCCACCUUCACCAUAGGAACCGGCUUUGACCCGGGACAAGAAGAAGCUUUGGUGAGGUUUUUGCGCGCGAACAAGGAGAUAUUUGCGUGGGAGCCUAGCAUAUGAAAAAUUUAACCCAUUCUUUCGUUUUUUUAGCUCACUGGCCAUCCACUGGCAGUUUCGGGCUUAAUACCGAUAUUUUAGCAACAAAUCUAAUAAAUCUAACUGUAGUUGUUGGUGUUUUGAUUUUUUUUGGAAAGGGAGUGUGUGCGAGUUGUCUAUUUCAAGAAUAGAUUGGAUCUAUCCGGCUGCACUUUAUAAUAUUUUUUAGUAUUUUUCGGUAG
rnacentral:lncRNA from 1 species